rnacentral:tRNA from 1 species
AAGUCAUUAGGAUAAAUAAUCUUUCAUCUUGUCAUGAUGAAGAUCUCCAGAAAUAGGAGAUGUCUUU